rnacentral:rRNA from 1 species
CCUACGGGUGGCAGCAGUGGGGAAUAUUGCACAAUGGGGGAAACCCUGAUGCAGCGACGCCGCGUGAGUGAAGAAGUAUUUCGGUAUGUAAAGCUCUAUCAGCAGGAACGAGACAAGACGGUACCUGACCAAGAUGCCCCGGCCAAAUACGUGCCAGCAGCCGCGGUAAUACGCAGGGGGCAAGCGUUACCCGGAAGAACUGGGUGUAAAGGGAGCGUAGACGGCUGUGCAAGCCUGAAGUGAAAGGCGGGGGCCCAACCCCUGGACUGCUUUGGGAACUGUACGGCUGGAGUGCAGGAGAGGUAAGUGGAAUUCCUAGUGUAGCGGUGAAAUGCGUAGAUAUUAGGAGGAACACCAGUGGCGAAGGCGGCUUACUGGACUGUAACUGACGUUGAGGCUCGAAAGCGUGGGGAGCAAACAGGAUUAGAUACCCGAGUAGUC